rnacentral:rRNA from 1 species
AGAGUUUGAUCAUGGCUCAGAACGAACGUUAGCGGCGCGCCUAACACAUGCAAGUCGCACGAGAAAGGGCUUCGGCCCCGGUACAGUGGCGCACGGGUGAGUAACACGUGGGUAACCUUUCCCCAGGCGGGGGAUAACCUUCCGAAAGGAGGGCUAAUACCGCAUAAGACCACGGCCUCGAAAGGGGCUGAGGUAAAAGC